CCUACGGGAGGCAGCAGUGAGGAAUAUUGGUCAAUGGGCGCGAGUCUGAACCAGCCAAGUAGCGUGCAGGAUGACUGCCCUAUGGGUUGUAAACUUCUUUUAUACAGGAAUAAACUGAGGCACGUGUGCCUUUUUGCAUGUACUUCAUGAAUAAGGAUCGGCUAAUUCCGUGCCAGCAGCCGCGGUAAUACGGAGGAUCCGGGCGUUAUCCGGAUUUAUUGGGUUUAAAGGGAGCGCAGGUGGCUUGUUAAGCCGGUUGUGAAAGGUUGCGGCUCAACCGUAGCAUUGCAGUUGGUACUGGCAGUCUUGAGUACAGUUGAGGUAGGCGGAAUUCGUGGUGUAGCGGUGAAAUGCUUAGAUAUCACGAAGAACUCCGAUUGCGAAGGCAGCUUACUAUACUGCCACUGACAUUGAUGCUCGAAGGUGUGGGUAUCGAACAGGAUUAGAUACCCGAGUAGUC
rnacentral:rRNA from 1 species